AUUUUAUUAAAAGCAAUUAAGUCACAUAGUUUUGUCAGAGGAGAUUGCAGAAGGCAGUUUUUAAGUAAUAUGCAAUAUAAUGUUUAGAUUUGUUUAUUUAUGAUGGUUGGAGAAUGCAAUGAUCUAUUAUCAGCUUAGCACAAAACACAGAAAAGAAAGUAAUUGAAAACCUAAUUAUGAAAUAUAGGCAAAAGUAGCCAAGCUGUGAUUAUAACGUUUGAUAACGUAUGAGCAGCAAAAUGUUUCCACUUGUCUUGGGAUUUCCCUAUAUAUAUAAC